GGAGGAGUGGCCGAGCGGUUGAAGGCGGUGCUCUCGAAAAGCAUUGUGCGGGUCAGACCGCACCGGGGGUUCGAAUCCCUCCUCCUCCGCCA
rnacentral:tRNA from 1 species